AUCACUAGGUGGCGUAUCGCGGCAGAAUGCUUCUCUCUCAUUGGUUAGAUUUUCAGAGAAGAAAGAAGGACAAAAUGGCGAAGAAAACACCAAGAAUUUGCUCAAGAAAAACAACAGAGAUGAGAAGAUCUUUUGAAUCUACACUGAAGAAAGGCACCCCAAACGGCAGAUUAGAUACAGAUAUCCACUGAACAAAUCAUCUGAAAACUAAGGCUAAUAGGAGAGGAUGAAGAAUACUUCUGUUAAAAGGUUGAAGUAACUGACGAGCAGGUCAAUCCAACUUGAACUUGAAGUGCAAGUGGGUCUUCAAAAAUGUGGACCACCCAAGGACUUUUCUGUUGGUUGAUGAUGGACUACAAACUGAAUAUUUAACAAAGAAAUCCACUUUGGUGCUUAUUGGCUACUAUUGAUGUGAACUUGUGCAUUUA